AUGGAGUUGAAGAGUAGAUCGUCUCAUGGAUAUUUAGUUGGCACUUGUUUUAUGGUUGAAAGAAAUCACAAUGGAAGAUAUAAAUUAACCCAUAGUGAAUGUGAUCAACACCCUGGCCUUUCCGAAAGAGAAGGUACAAACACACACUUUCUCUUAAAAAACAAAAACAAAAAACAAAACUCCCUCCAUACCACCCCAUCCAGAGCUAAAAAGAGUAGAAGCAUUCGAAAAAUACAUUGCUUCCAUUUAACAAGCAAAUAUGAGAAAUAUAUCAGAACCCUUGUGAUGAUGAUUAGUGAAGACUGUUAGCCAUCUCCUUCUGUCUGUGAUCAGGAAUGACAGCAACAUAUCAUGAGUUAAGUGAUGAGCACAGUUAUCAGUACUGUGAAUAUGUGAAAAGCACUUAUCUAGCACUUACUACAUGUUAGGCACUGUUCCA
rnacentral:lncRNA from 1 species